ACUUAAUGUAGCGUCUAUUUUUUAUAGUGAACAGUAACGAAGAGAAAUUCAGUGGACAAUGUUACGUUCCUUACCAUACAACAUCUACACACUUUGACGUAUUCUACAACUGAUACUGGAACAUAACACAUUCCCAACAGAUUAUAUAAAUUUGCAAUGUUGUUGAACUUCCAAAUGGACUGCAAUCUUGAAUGAUGAUCUGGCUUCUUUUGUUUUUCAGUAAUUUGUGAACCUCUGAAUGAACUCUAUUAUGACAGAUUUUUUCUUGUCUGUGGUCUUGGUGUAAGAGGAAUUAUCGCAGGUGGCAUCGGUAGUUCCGUGCUGGUGGUGGAAGUGCUACUUGUGCCAGGACCGCUACCCGUUGUCGAUGACGACCUACUGCCGAUGUUGUCCGCCGUGCUGUA